GACCAGGUGGUCAUAGCGAGGGCCCUCCACCCGAUCCCAUCCCGAACUCGGACGUGAAACCCCUCUGCGCCGAUGGUACUGUGUCUUAAGGCACGGGAGAGUAGGACGCUGCCUGGUCU
rnacentral:rRNA from 1 species